CAGGCCUAAUACAUGCAAGUCGAACGAGCAAGAGCCCCAAAAGGGAGUUCUGCUAGUGGCAAACGGGUGAGUAACACGUGGGAAUCUCCCUCAUAGUACGGAACAACAGCUGGAAACGGCUGCUAAUACCGUAUACGCACGCAAGUGGAAAGAUUUAUCGCUAUGAGAUGAGCCCGCGCUAGAUUAGCUAGUUGGUGAGGUAAUGGCUCACCAAGGCUACGAUCUAUAGCUGGUCUGAGAGGAUGAUCAGCCACACUGGGACUGAGAUACGGCCCAGACUCCUACGGGAGGCAGCAGUAGGGAAUAUUGGACAAUGGAGGCAACUCUGAUCCAGCCAUGCCGCGUGAGUGAUGAAGGCCUUAGGGUUUUAAAGCUCUUUUAGCGGGGAAGAUAAUGACGGUACCCGCAGAAAAAACUCCGGCUAACUCUGUGCCAGCAGCCGCGGUAAUAC
rnacentral:rRNA from 1 species